UACAGAGGGGGCAAGCGUUGUUCGGAAUUACUGGGCGUAAAGGGCGCGUGGGCGGCCUGUUAAGUCGAACGUGAAAUCCCCGGGCUCAACCCGGGAACUGCGUCCGAUACUGGCAGGCUUGAAUCCGGGAGAGGGAUGCGGAAUUCCAGGUGUAGCGGUGAAAUGCGUAGAUAUCUGGAGGAACACCGGUGGCGAAGGCGGCAUCCUGGACCGGUAUUGACGCUGAGGCGCGAAAGCCAGGGGAGCAAACGGG
rnacentral:rRNA from 1 species